AUGUUAGCAGCAUCAUAUAUACUAAAAUCACAAUGAUAGAGAACAAAUUAACCUGGCCCUUUCUAAAAGAUGACAUGCAAAUUUGUGAAGCAUUCUAGAUUUUU